rnacentral:rRNA from 1 species
GCUGGCGGCAUGCCUUACACAUGCAAGUCGAACGGUAACAGGUCUUCGGACGCUGACGAGUGGCGAACGGGUGAGUAAUACAUCGGAACGUGCCCAGUCGUGGGGGAUAACUACUCGAAAGAGUAGCUAAUACCGCAUACGAUCUGAGGAUGAAAGCGGGGGACCUUCGGGCCUCGCGCGAUUGGAGCGGCCGAUGGCAGAUUAGGUAGUUGGUGGGAUAAAAGCUUACCAAGCCGACGAUCUGUAGCUGGUCUGAGAGGACGACCAGCCACACUGGGACUGAGACACGGCCCAGACUCCUACGGGAGGCAGCAGUGGGGAAUUUUGGACAAUGGGCGAAAGCCUGAUCCAGCAAUGCCGCGUGCAGGAUGAAGGCCUUCGGGUUGUAAACUGCUUUUGUACGGAACGAAAAAGCUUCUCCUAAUACGAGAGGCCCAUGACGGUACCGUAAGAAUAAGCACCGGCUAACUACGUGCCAGCAGCCGCGGUAAUACGUAGGGUGCGAGCGUUAAUCGGAAUUACUGGGCGUAAAGCGUGCGCAGGCGGUUAUGUAAGACAGAUGUGAAAUCCCCGGGCUCAACCUGGGAACUGCAUUUGUGACUGCAUGGCUAGAGUACGGUAGAGGGGGAUGGAAUUCCGCGUGUAGCAGUGAAAUGCGUAGAUAUGCGGAGGAACACCGAUGGCGAAGGCAAUCCCCUGGACCUGUACUGACGCU